rnacentral:rRNA from 1 species
AUGACUAGGGAUAACCUUAGGAAGAGACACAUCAUCAAACCCCUUGAUUGUGUUUACUGCUUGGAAUAGGAGUCUUGUUCUCACCUAUUUUUUGAAUGUAUAGUUGCUAAACAUCUCUGGGCCCACAUUGAGGAAUAUUUCUCUAGUCAGAUUGGCUCAUCCUUCGAAUCUGUCGCCAGAUUCUGGAUUGCUACCAAAAAGUGCUCAGUUUUAACUGUUAGCUCAGCUGUCCUUUGGUGCCUCUGGAAAUAUAGAAAUGCUAUGGUUUUCAGUAACACCUCCUGGAUUUCCAUUCCGCAGGUCUUGAGGUUGAUCAGGAACAUGGUGAGGAACUGGGCGAUUCUCUCCUCCGGAUCGGACAAGGACAAGUUGAUGAGCUUCGUGGAAACCCUAACAAGAUCCCUCCAGAAACCGUUGGCGAUCACUUGUGGCUGA